CCUACGGGUGGCAGCUGUGAGGAAUAUUGGUCAAUGGACGAGAGUCUGAACCAGCCAAGUAGCGUGAAGGAUGACUGCCCUAUGGGUUGUAAACUUCUUUUAUAUGGGAAUAAAAUGUUCCACGUGUGGGAUUUUGUAUGUACCAUAUGAAUAAGGAUCGGCUAACUCCGUGCCAACAGCCGCGGUAAUACGGAGGAUCCGAGCGUUAUCCGGAUUUAUUGGGUUUAAAGGGAGCGUAGGUGGAUUGUUAAGUCAGUUGUGAAAGUUUGCGGCUCAACCGUAAAAUUGCAGUUGAAACUGGCAGUCUUGAGUACAGGAGAGGUGGGCGGAAUUCGUGGUGUAGCGGUGAAAUGCGUAGAUAUCACGAAGAACUCCGAUUGCGAAGGCAGCUCACUGGACUGCAACUGACACUGAGGCUCGAAAGUGUGGGUAGCAAACAGGAUUAGAUACCCCGGUAGUC
rnacentral:rRNA from 1 species